CCUACGGGAGGCAGCAGUGAGGAAUAUUGGUCAAUGGACGCAAGUCUGAACCAGCCAUGCCGCGUGCAGGAUGACGGCCCUAUGAGUUGUAAACUGCUUUUGUACGAGGGUAAAAGGAGACACGUGAACCCCUCUGUUUGUAUCCUACGAAUAAGGAUCGGCUAACUCCGUGCCAGCACCCGCGGUAAUACGGAGGAUUCCAGCGCUAUCCGGAUUUAUUGGGUUUAAAGGGUGCGUAGGCGGUCGGUUAAGUUAGAGGUGAAAUCCCGAGGCUCAACUUCGGAAUUGCCGCUGAGACUGGUCGGCUAGAGAGUAGUUACGGUAGGCGGAAUGUAUGGUGUAGCGGUGAAAUGCUUAGAGAUCAUACAGAACACCGAUUGCGAAGGCAGCUUACCAGGCUGCAUCUGACGUUGAGGCACGAAAGCGUGGGGAGCAAACAGGAUUAGAUACCCCGGUAGUC
rnacentral:rRNA from 1 species